CACAGAUAUCAAGGGAUGACAGACUGUAUUUCUUUCUAAUUUCAAAACCUAUCUAUUUUCCAUUAUAUUAAGCUUUCUCCCCUAUGGUAAAAUGGAUAGUUAUCUUUCAAUAUAAUUCCAUUAGAUUUCUUACUAGUAAUUACUCGAUAUUAACAAUAAACAUUGCUGUUGUAAUAGAUGGAAAUAUAGUCUCACAAGGAGGAAACCACACCAUCUUUUUGUGUUCUUUAUAAACCUCUUACUAGCUACCAUGACUGGCUACACUUCAUUGACCCUUCAUAGUAGCUCUUGGUGUGAAAAACCCUAAUCAAUUACCCCACGGAGUCUCCCUUAAUUGUGAUUUUUAAAUUAAGUUCUGUACCAUCAUUAUUUUUUAAAAAAAAUGUUUUCUGGCAGAAUCACAACACAGAAAGUACCUUUUCUCAUUCUGUUACUAUUAUGGUCAUUCACAAUUGCCAGGGGAUUUUGAAAGUGAAAACCAGAAUGAACACUUUCAGGAUAAGGAAAGUUUACCAUCACAACAGAUUUGUAAGGCAGAUAUUAUAAACCUCUUUAUAGAAAGAGGUUAAAUGAAAGCUCAGAGAUGUUAAUUAACCUUUUCAAGGAACACAGCUAGAAAGAACUAAAAGAGGAAUUUGAACAUGUGGUCCACUUACCUAUUAUUACAUAAGGAUUUCAGUGUUUCCAAAUCAAAUUUGUCAUUUAAACACUCUCAAGAUAACUAAUACCUGCCUUCAAGCAUUAAAAUGAUAGAAUCUUACCCUUCACUGAAUCACAGAUUUGUAAUUAUUUAAAUGAGUGGUAAGGGUGAGGGAGGAGAAAAGAUUAACUUAAUGAGUAGUGUAUUGUUAUAAUUACUUGGGUAAAAAAAAUGAUAAUUUCACAACAAAUCUGUUUAAAUACCUUUAAUUAAAGUAGUUUUUGUAAAUAUGUUGGACAUUAUUUUCUUAAAACAAAAGUAAUAAAUUCG
rnacentral:lncRNA from 1 species